CACGUAGGGUCCGAGCGUUGUCCGGAAUUACUGGGCGUAAAGCGCGCGCAGGCGGUCCAUUCAGUCGCUGGUGAAAGCCCCACGCUCAACGUGGGAAGGUCCGGCGAGACGGGUGGACUGGAGGCAGGGAGAGGUCGGUGGAAUUCCGGGUGUAGCGGUGGAAUGCGUAGAGAUCCGGAAGAACACCAGAGGCGAAGGCGGCCUGCUGGGCCUUGUCUGACGCUGAGGCGCGAAAGCGUGGGGAGCGAACAGG
rnacentral:rRNA from 1 species